UGGGAACUGUCAACCUCUCAGUAAAAUCCCCUUUUACUGUUCACGUGGAAAAAUACAAAUUAAUGAUUGGUGAAAAUUCGUGAGAAAGAGAAAGAAUCUAGUAUCAUUCGGGGAGUACGCCACGAAAUUCGAGAGGAGGAGGACGUAUUCUACAUCAUCUCUCGACGGCCAACGCCCAUAAUAGACUCACAUGUUUCGUAUUAAGUCAGUAAAUACAUUGAAGAAAAUGUUUAUUAAUGUGCCAUUGAAUAAUUGACCAAGAAAGAACAUUCAUCCAGAACUAAAGAUACAAGAAGAUAAAAGACAUGAUUCGAGAAUGGAAUUAGAUGAAAGAGAAUGAUGUGAGGAGAAUGAUAUAUGAAGAACAGAUAUGGAAUCCUUAGAGGCAGCAGGAUGCCCCGAUUACCUGUUCAUGAAAUUCCGCUGCAAACCUGAAGUCACGCUAUUUCGAUUUAAAAGUUUUCACCCGAAAGCAGUUAUAGAUGAUCUGCACGACUCUAAUCGACGUGGCUAAUUGCAGAAAAUUGACAUUUCAUUUGCACAGAAAAGAAGCAAAUACCCAUUGAGAUAGAGAAGUGGUAAACUGUAUUUAUAUUUUAAUUAUUGAAUAGAUUUGACUCAUCAGGAAAGAAGUUAAAAUCUUUCAGAAAGAAAUCGAAAGAAUCGUGUCUAUUUGUUUCUCUGUCGUCGUCUUCGGUUCCAUCAGAAAUGAAAAGAGAAGAAGAAACGACAAUAAAUAGCAUUAACACGCAACACUUCGCUCGUUACUACUGACGCCUUUUCGUUGUCUUUCGUGUCGAGAAAAGACGAGGAUAGUUUUAUUUUACACUCUGUUGAUACCUUACAAUUCUUUGAGUAUUUGGAGACAGAGUGAUGAUUCUGUUGUAUUUUCUUCUGUAUGACAAAGUGAACGGAAGCUUAUGGAAUUCUCAUGCAGAAAUGGUGCUGAUCUGAAGAAAAUCUCGUUGACAAUUACAUUAGAAAAAAAAUAAGAAAGAAAAAAGACUUCCUAAGUAGCUGAAGACGAUUUUUCAGGUAAUAUUUCUUGAUAUAUCGAAUGGCCCUAGAGUUUGGUUAAUGGAAUGCGCUAACAAGUAUAGAAAGUGCUUUACGUUUUUCUGUUGAAUGAAGUUUUUUGACUUAAUAUAGACAAACGUAAGUAAAUCUCUAAUUUUUUUCUCACGCAUUGUCAAAACCACAAUUUUUAAGAAAAGGUUAGAAAUUGGUUGUUUUUAAUAUUUCAAAUUUUUCAAUCAAAACUGAAAUAUGAAAAUAAAAGGAAAGGAUUUUCGUAAAAUACAGUUUUAUAUGAAUUACUUGUUUUUAAACAUAGCAGACAAAACUAUUUUAAAUAUCGUAUUAAUAAUUAAUCAAUGCAUUUCACACGUAUACGUAUUCUUGUUUAAGAAAAUUGACUUAAAUCGUUUAUUUUUCAGAUUUUGAACCCAGCUUUAAUUUUCUGGCAUGACGUGUUCAAGAAAUGAUUUCUAAAAUGAAAAUUUUUUGAAAUUAAAUAAUUUGUUUUAUAAAAUAAUGUAUGACGUCAUUCUCGUAUUUGAAUUCAUUGAAAACUUUAUUUUCAGAUUCACUAUCACCCAAUAAAGAGAAGUGUAACAAAUGAAGAAUUGUUUCCAGAAAAAAAGGAUGAGUCGAGGAAUGUGUUUAACUUCUGUUUACAGAAGACUAAAUUGAAGACAGUGAUAAGAAAUUAUACGAGAAUAUGAAAAAAGGAAGAAUAUAUGUGAAGGAAAUGAAGAGAAACAGAAAAUGAAAUGAAGAAGAUAUUUUAAAUAAUUUCCAAAUACGUUGUUAUUUGUGAAAAUACUCUUCAUAUAAAAUGUUUUGAGAUAAAUGUAUAAAUUACAUUAAUUUGUGACAGUAUGUUCAUACUGCUUGGAAAUAUUUGAAAAUGUUGGUUGAAGCAGUUUACGUAUGGUUUAUUGUUUGAUGUGGGGUGGUUUAGUUAGUUGUAAGGUAUCAAUUUUCGUUUAAAGAAUCUUGCUAGAAGGAAAUUCUUUUUUUUAUCUGCACACACAAGUUUAACAAUCUUUUAAAAGCAGCGCGCUUAAAUUUAGAAUUUUACAUAUUCGAUUAGCAAUAAAUUGA
rnacentral:lncRNA from 1 species